AGAUCUUUCUCAAAAUAGUAAUGAAAUGUCUAUGAUUGAAAGCUUAAGCAAUGAUGAUACCUCUUUGUGUGAAUUUCAAGAAAUGCAGACCAACGGUGAUGUUUCAAGCUCACCAUGCCUUCUCCUAUGCCUGAGUACCUGAAUGUGCACUACAUUGGGGAGUCUGCCUCCAGACUGCUGUUCUUAUCAAUGCACUGGGCACUUUCGAUUCCUUCUUUCCAGGCUCUAGGGCAAGAAAACAGCAUAUCACUGGUGAAAGCUUACUGGAAUGAACUUUUUACUCUUGGUCUUGCCCAGUGCUGGCAAGUGAUGAAUGUAGCAACUAUAUUAGCAACAUUUGUCAAUUGUCUUCACAAUAGUCUUCAACAAGCAGAGGGGUAAUCACCUUAAAAUGUCAUCAAAAAUAGAUCUACUAGAAGGCAGCAUCACAUUCCCAUCUUACUUAUGGACUCCUACCCCUGGUUCAUGUCUUAUAUGCCUGUAAUGGUUAUAAAGCCUACCUUCAGGAAAGCUAUGGUUGACUAAUUACUAAUGGAUGGGUUUUAAACAUGUCCCUCUACAAUAAAUUAAAAUCUUUAUUGUAAAACUUUA
rnacentral:lncRNA from 1 species